CUCACUGUAGCGCAACGGUUCAGCACGCGCUCCCGGCAAGAGUGAGUGUGGGUUCGAAUUCCACCUGACGCAGA